rnacentral:rRNA from 1 species
CACGUAGGGGGCGAGCGUUGUCCGGAAUCAUUGGGCGUAAAGAGCUCGUAGGCGGCUCGGUAAGUCGGGUGUGAAACCCCCAGGCUCAACCUGGGGACGCCACCCGAUACUGCUGUGGCUAGAGUCCGGUAGGGGAGUGUGGAAUUCCCGGUGUAGCGGUGAAAUGCGCAGAUAUCGGGAGGAACACCAGCGGCGAAGGCGGCACUCUGGGCUGGAACUGACGCUGAGGAGCGAAAGCGUGGGUAGCAAACAGG